rnacentral:rRNA from 1 species
CAGCCGCCGCGGUAAAACGAAGGGGGCUAGCGUUACUCGGAAUUACUGGGCGUAAAGGGCGCGUAGGCGGCGCUCCAAGUUAGGCGUGAAAGUCCUGGGCUCAACCUGGGAACUGCGCUUAAGACUGGAGUGCUUGAGGAUGGAAGAGGGUUGUGGAAUUCCCAGUGUAGAGGUGAAAUUCGUAGAUAUUGGGAAGAACACCGGUGGCGAAGGCGGCAACCUGGUCCAUUACUGACGCUGAGGCGCGACAGCGUGGGGAGCAAACAGGAUUAGAUACCCCAGUAGUCCCUGUCUCUUAUAC